CCCCAGACUCCUACGGGAGGCAGCAGUGAGGAAUAUUGGUCAAUGGGCGCGAGCCUGAACCAGCCAAGUCGUGUGAGGGAUGACGGCCCUACGGGUUGUAAACCUCUUUUGUCGGGGAGCAAAUUCCGCCACGUGUGGCGGAGUCGAGAGUACCCGAAGAAAAAGCAUCGGCUAACUCCGUGCCAGCAGCCGCGGUAAUACGGAGGAUGCGAGCGUUAUCCGGAUUUAUUGGGUUUAAAGGGUGCGUAGGCGGAAUAUCAAGUCAGCGGUAAAAAUUCGGGGCUCAACCCCGUCGUGCCGUUGAAACUGAUGUUCUUGAGUGGGCGAGAAGUAUGCGGAAUGCGUGGUGUAGCGGUGAAAUGCAUAGAUAUCACGCAGAACUCCGAUUGCGAAGGCAGCAUGCCGGCGCCCAACUGACGCUGAAGCACGAAAGCGUGGGUAUCGAACAGGAUUAGAUACCCGAGUAG
rnacentral:rRNA from 1 species